rnacentral:rRNA from 1 species
UACGGAGGAUGCGAGCGUUAUCCGGAUUUAUUGGGUUUAAAGGGUGCGUAGGCUGUCGGAUAAGUUAGAGGUCAAAUGUCGGGGCUUAACCCCGUGCCUGCCUCUGAUACUGUUCGACUGGAGAGCGGAUGCAGCAGGCGGAAUGAGUAGUGUAGCGGUGAAAUGCAUAGAUAUUACACAGAACACCGAUUGCGAAGGCAGCUUACAAAUCUAUAUCGGACGCUGAGGCACGAAAGCGUGGGGAGCAAACAGG